GACAGAGGGUGCAACCGUUGUUCGGAAUUACUGGGCGUAAAGCGCGUGUAGGCUGCUUGGAAAGUCGGAUGUGAAAGCCCUGGGCUCAACCUAGGAAGUGCAUUCGAAACUUCUGAGCUGGAGUGCUGGAGAGGAAGGCGGAAUUCUCGGUGUAGAGGUGAAAUUCGUAGAUAUCAGGUGGAACACCAGUGGCGAAGGCGGCUUUCUGGACGAUAACUGACGCUGAGACGCGAAAGCGUGGGGAGCAAACAGG
rnacentral:rRNA from 1 species